rnacentral:rRNA from 1 species
GAGCUUGCCUAGAUGAUUUUAGUGCUUGCACUAAAUGAAACUAGAUACAAGCGAGCGGCGGACGGGUGAGUAACACGUGGGUAACCUGCCCAAGAGACUGGGAUAACACCUGGAAACAGAUGCUAAUACCGGAUAACAACACUAGACGCAUGUCUAGAGUUUGAAAGAUGGUUCUGCUAUCACUCUUGGAUGGACCUGCGGUGCAUUAGCUAGUUGGUAAGGUAAUGGCUUACCAAGGCGAUGAUGCAUAGCCGAGUUGAGAGACUGAUCGGCCACAUUGGGACUGAGACACGGCCCAAACUCCUACGGGAGGCAGCAGUAGGGAAUCUUCCACAAUGGACGAAAGUCUGAUGGAGCAACGCCGCGUGAGUGAAGAAGGGUUUCGGCUCGUAAAGCUCUGUUGGUAGUGAAGAAAGAUAGAGGUAGUAACUGGCCUUUAUUUGACGGUAAUUACUUAGAAAGUCACGGCUAACUACGUGCCAGCAGCCGCGGUAAUACGUAGGUGGCAAGCGUUGUCCGGAUUUAUUGGGCGUAAAGCGAGUGCAGGCGGUUCAAUAAGUCUGAUGUGAAAGCCUUCGGCUCAACCGGAGAAUUGCAUCAGAAACUGUUGAACUUGAGUGCAGAAGAGGAGAGUGGAACUCCAUGUGUAGCGGUGGAAUGCGUAGAUAUAUGGAAGAACACCAGUGGCGAAGGCGGCUCUCUGGUCUG